rnacentral:rRNA from 1 species
CCUACGGGCGGCAGCAGUGGGGAAUAUUGCACAAUGGGCGCAAGCCUGAUGCAGCCAUGCCGCGUGUGUGAAGAAGGCCUUCGGGUUGUAAAGCACUUUCAGCGGGGAGGAAGGCGGUGAGGUUAAUAACCUCAUCGAUUGACGUUACCCGCAGAAGAAGCACCGGCUAACUCCGUGCCAGCAGCCGCGGUAAUACGGAGGGUGCAAGCGUUAAUCGGAAUUACUGGGUGUAAAGCGCACGCAGGCGGUCUGUCAAGUCGGAUGUGAAAUCCCCGGGCUCAACCUGGGAACUGCAUUCGAAACUGGCAGGCUAGAGUCUUGUAGAGGGGGGUAGAAUUCCAGGUGUAGCGGUGAAAUGCGUAGAGAUCUGGAGGAAUACCGGUGGCGAAGGCGGCCCCCUGGACAAAGACUGACGCUCAGGUGCGAAAGCGUGGGGAGCAAACAGGAUUAGAUACCCGUGUAGUC